ACGCACGCUGGCGGCGUGCUUAACACAUGCAAGUCGAACGGUGAAGCGCCUUCCUUUUUGGUGGGUGUGGAUGAGUGGCGAACGGGUGAGUAACACGUGAGUAACCUGCCCCCUUCUUCUGGAUAACCGCAUGAAAGUGUGGCUAAUACGGGAUAUUCUGGGUCUGUCGCAUGAUGGGUCUGGGAAAGAUAUUGUUUCGGUGGGGGAUGGGCUCGCGGCCUAUCAGCUUGUUGGUGGGGUGAUGGUCUACCAAGGCGGUGACGGGUAGCCGGCCUGAGAGGGUGGACGGUCACACUGGGACUGAGACACGGCCCAGACUCCUACGGGAGGCAGCAGUGGGGAAUAUUGCACAAUGGGCGCAAGCCUGAUGCAGCGACGCCGCGUGAGGGAUGGAGGCCUUCGGGUUGUGAACCUCUUUCGCCAGUGAAGCAGGCCUGCCUCGUUUGUGGGUGGGUUGACGGUAGCUGGAUAAGAAGCGCCGGCUAACUACGUG
rnacentral:rRNA from 1 species